rnacentral:rRNA from 1 species
AUGCAAGUCGAGCGAGAACCGGGGCUUCGGCCCCGGGGAAAGCGGCGAACGGGUGAGUAACACGUUGAGUCAUCCACCCUCGGUACCGGGAUAGCCCGGGGAAACCCGGAUUAAUACCGGAUGGCCCGUCUGCCCUUCGGGGCGGCCGGAAAAGGUAGCUUCGGCCUCCGACCGAGGACGAGCUCGCGGCGGAUUAGCUUGUUGGUGGGGUAACGGCCCACCAAGGCGACGAUCCGUAGCUGGUCUGAGAGGACGAUCAGCCACACUGGGACUGAGACACGGCCCAGACUCCUACGGGAGGCAGCAGUGGGGAAUCUUGCGCAAUGGGCGAAAGCCUGACGCAGCGACGCCGCGUGCGGGAAGAAGGCCUUCGGGUUGUAAACCGCUUUCAGGAGGGACGAAGCCACUCGGGUUAAUAGCCCAGAGGGUGACGGUACCUCCAGAAGAAGCCCCGGCUAACUACGUGCCAGCAGCCGCGGUAAUACGUAGGGGGCAAGCGUUGUCCGGAUUUAUUGGGCGUAAAGAGCGUGUAGGCGGCCAUGCAGGUCCGCUGUGAAAACUCGAGGCUCAACCUCGAGACGUCGGUGGAAACCGCAUGGCUAGAGUCCGGA